GACCAUUUGGUUACCCUGAAUUAAAGUUCAUAUCAGAAUGUUAAGGUAAAUGCUUAAAUCUCUUCCUUAUUUAUCUCUUUCAUGCCCCCACCUGGGGAUCAAGCCUGCAACCCAGGCAUGUGCCCUGAACAGGAAUCAAACUGUGUCCUCCUGGUUCACAGGUUGACAUUCAACCACUGAGACAUGCCGGCCAGGCUGCUCUCUCUCUCUCUCUUUUUAAAUUGAUUUCAGAGAGAGAGAGAGAGAGAGAGAGAGACAUCAAUUUGCUGUUUCAGUUAUUUAUGCACUUAUUGGUUGCUUCUUAUAUGUGCCCUGGCCAGAGAUUGAGUCCGCAACCUUGGCAAUACUCUAACCAACUGAGCUACCCAGCCAGGGAUGCUCUCUCUUUACAUUAUUAUUGUGAACUUGUAGUUUUUAUAUAUUUAGUAUCUUAAUCACUUGCAGUUAUUUUUUUUUAUAUUAUAUAACAUUUCAAGCAUACACAAAAAUAGAGAAAAUAAUAUCAUGGAUUUCCAGGCACUCAUCAGUCAGCUUCAGUAAUUAUCAAUUCAUGGCCAAUCUUGAUUUAUUUAUUUAUUUAUUCCCUCAAUUGCUCUCCCCUGAGAUUAUUUUGAAGCAAAAUUAGGUAUGAUUCCAAUUCAUCUGUGGUUUAGUAUGUUUCUCUAAAAGAUAAGGGAUUUUAUUACCACUAUUGUACCUAAAAAUUAAUAAUUUCUCAAUAUAAUAUAGUUGAUAUUCAGUUUUCCCCAAUUUUCUUCUUCUUUUUUAAAAUCCUCACCUGAGGAUAUUUUUCCAUUGAUUUUUAUUUCUUUAUUUUUAAUGAGAUUUAUUCUCUCUUUUUAAAAAAUAUUUUUAUUUAUUUCAGAGAGAGAGAGAGAGAGAUUGGAAGGGACAUCAAUUAUGAGAGAGAUCGGCUGCCUCCUGCACGCCCCUCACUGGGGAUUAAGCCCGCAACCCAGGCAUGUGCCCUUGACUGGAAUCAAACCCGGGACCCUUCAGUCUGCAGGCCAACGCUCUAUCCACUGAGCCAAACCAGCUAAGGCUCUGUUGGUUUUUAGAGAUAGUGGAAGAGAGAGGGAAAGAUAAAGAGAAAUAUCGAUGUGAGAGAAAUACAUUGAUUGGUUCUCUUGCACGCACCCUGACCAGGGCCUGGCCGGCGAGAGCCUGCAACUGAGGUACAUGCCCUAGACCUGAAUCGAACCUGGGACCCUUUAGUCUGCAAGCUGAUGCUCUAUCCACUGAGCCAAACCGGCUAGGGCAAUAAGGUAGGGUUUUUUUUGCUAAGACAGUAGUGAGCAACAGAUCUUGUUCCUGCCUCUAUAGCCUGAUAACAAAAAACAUGAUGGGAACUGGGUAAGUAAAGUACUGUGGAAGUACAAAGGAUGCGUACAUAAGACCUAGUUCAGCUUACGUCAAUAAAGGUUUCCAGCUGAGUCCUAAAAAACAAAGGAGCUUGGUCGGUGUGGCUCAGUGGUUGAGCAUCAACCCAUGAAUCAAAAGGUCACUGGUUUGAUUUCCACUCGGCAAAUGCCUGGGUUCUGAGCUUGACCCCCAGUAGGGAGCAUGCAGGAGACAGCCCAUUGAUGUUUCUCUCUAUAUAUCCCUCUCAAAAUUUUUUUUAAAAACAUUCUUUUCAAUAAACAUAAAGGAGAUAGACUAAAUGGAGGGAGAAGAGUUAUAGUGGCACAGAGAACCUGGUAUAUAUAAGGCCUGAAGAAGAGUGGCAGGUUCUAAGAACUGAAAAAUCAGUGGCUGGUGUAUGGGGGUAAAAUGUUCAAGAUAGAGGUAAGCAGCGGUGAAAACAAGAUGACCCUGUAAGCAAAAUUAAGAUAUAUGGUGACAGGAAACCACUGAAGGGUUUUUAAAUUAAAAAAUGAUUUAAGUUUUUGAGAAAAAAAAUGCUUGGACUUCAGCAUAGACAGUGGAUUGCAUGGUGAGUAUGGACUCAGGAGGAACUGCUGAAGUGAUGAAUCCAGGUGAGAAACAAUAACUCUGAAUGAAGGAUGUGGAGAGGAAUAAAUGGAUUUGAGAAAUAAGACUGUAAAGAUAGGACCUGGUAACCAAAUAUAUUUGAAGUAAGAAAUAAUGCAGGUUUCUUUUUCAGCAACUGAGUCAACCGUGAUGUCCAUUAAGAGAAGGGGCAUCAUAGAGGGAAGAAGAUACAUUCAGGUUGGGGAGCUUGUGGUUUAUGAAAUGAUAUCUAGUAAUCAAUUGGAUGAAUAUGUCUCGAGCUUAAAAGAAAGAUCUGAACUAAUGUUAGAACAGGGGCGGUCUUAAGCAUAGUUGGCCUUUGAAACCAAGGGAAUGGACAGAAUUGUCCAGGAAGUGUGUAAAGUGGGAGAGCUCUGACCAUUAGGAAAGAGAGAAACAUCCAGAGAAAAGGGUUUUGAGGAAGUGGGAAUGAGAAUAUUUCAUGAGGAACACUGCUUAAUGGCAAAUGCUGCCAAGAACUAAUGUGAGGACUGAAAGGUAUAUAUUGAAUUUAGCAACAAAGGAAGACCUUGCUGACAGAUCUUUGAUGUAUCGUGGGUAUGCAAGCAAGACUGGAUGGGCUGUGAGAGGAAACAGGUGACUCUUGAGGUUGUGAAGGGCAAGAGAAAAUAGGUCUAGUUAAUAUGGGAUAGAGACGUGGUGGUGGUAGAUUUUGGUAAAUACCCAACUGAAUGUUUAAAUGGUGGGGGAGGGACAGUGGAGAGAAGGGAGGCAACAUUAAGUAGUGGUUUAAAAGCAUGGACUCUGGAGCCAGGUUGGUUGUGUGGGUUUCAAUCCUGGCUCUACAAUGUACUACCUGGGUAUCCUGGGCAAGUUACUUAACCUCACAGGGUUGUUGUAAGGAUUAAAUUAACAUAAUGGGAAUACUUAAAGUAUGCUUGGCACAUACUAAGCAGUAUAUGAAAGCUCUUCAUACUAAGAAACAAGCUUUCCUAAGAAGGUGAGAGGGUAUGGGUCCAGAGCACAGACAAGAGUUAGCUUUAGCCCUGGCUGGUUUGGCUCAGUGGAUAGAGCGCCAGCCUGCGGACUGAAGGGUCCCAGGUUUGAUUCUGGCCAAGGGCACCAAAAAAAAAAAAAAAAAAAAAAGCUUUAGACAGGAUGGUUCUCUCUUCCACUGUGGUGGAGGAGAGUUUGUAGGCUGGCUAAUAAAUUGAAGGGGUUUAUGUGUGGUGGUGUCUGUUUUAUCUGAAGUAGGAGGUAAGGUCACCUACUAGUAAGAAAGGAAGGGAGGUAAAGGUUUGGAAGUGGCAGAAUGGGAGCUGAUGUUGCAAACACAGGAUUUAUCUAAGGUUGAUAACUACAGUAGCACCAAUAUACAUAGUUGUAUGAUUUUCUCUAGCAAUGCUCGGCAAACUAGGCAAAUUGCUAAAUUUAGCCAGAAUUAACUUUGCCUAGCUGGGCACAACCAGGUAGGAAAGAAUUGCUUUGCAGGUUGCUGGUCUGAUAAAAUGCCCCACACCUCUGCCCUGGCUGGUGUGUCUACGUGGUUAGACUGUCUGCACACAGAAAGGUUGCAGGUUCAAUUUGUGGUCAAGGAAACGUACCUGAUUUGUGGGUUACCUCCCCCUCCCACCAACCCCUCCCCACCCCACUGGGUUGCAGGCAGGAUGCAACCGGUUGAUGUGUAUCUCACCUCAAUAUCUGCCCCUCCACUCCCUCUGAAAAAAUAUCUUUGAGUGAGGAUUUAAAAAAGAAAAAAGUCCCACGCUUCCUUGUCUGUACAGCUGCUUUUAUAUGCCUAGUGGGAUCCAGCUUCAGUCCUGGCUGGGCUUGCAUACAUUAUUCCCACUGGCCCUUGACCUACCAUAUAUAAAAUGUACUCAUUUUUCAGGUUCUCAUUGCCCCUCAGGAACCCUUCCAACUACUAAGCAUGCCUGCAGACCCCAUGUUCUUCCCUAACACCAACAGCCUGCCACGUUAUAUGCCUUCUGCCUCCCUGUGAGGCAGGCAGGACCACAUACCCCAGGUAUUCCUCCAUAGGAUUGGGCAUACAUGUGCUGCUGGAAGACCCAAACCCUGGCCCUCUGGAGCACUCACCAUUAUAGGAUAGUGUGAGGCUUUCCAGAGACACCCAGGAGCUCAGCAGGUGGCACAGUGUCAGAGCUGCCUCUGUUGAGAGUGGGACUGUGAAGAGCUCCAAGGUGGAAAUGCUGCGGAAUCGUUGGGAGGCCUCCAGCACUGGAAGCCCCAGGCAGCUGGGAUCUGACCCAUCCAAAGCUCCACAAGCCACUUCCCCAAUCUCCAUCUCUUCCCCAUCUUCCUUCUCACCAGCCACAAUGAAAACAAAGUCAUAUAGGUCUUCAGACUCUGCACCAGACCCCUGACGAGUGCGAGCACCCUUUUUCCCUGUGGCUCGCUUAAAACGCUUUAAGGGCUUAGGCUGUGGGGUUGAGCUAGCUGGAGCCCUUUUGGAUGCGGAUGUGGAAGAAGAAGGAGAGGCAGAUGAGGUGGCUGGAGCAGAGGGUGGCUGCUUGGUGCCAGGAGCCUCAUUGGAGGUGGCUGGAGGGUGCAGCUCCCUCUUACGGUCUAUCCCACCUGCUCUCAGGCUCUCCUGUGUGCUCCGGCGUGUAACCCGAGUGGUGGGUGGGGCUCUGGCCAUCUGCUUGGCUUCACUCUUCCGACGGGAAGCCAUCAGGGCUGCAGCGCAUCGCUCAGCAGCAUCCCUGCGAGGCCUGCGUGAGCCCAGCAGGAGGGAGCUUUCAUCUCGGGAUGGGGCCCGGCCUCGGGAGGCCUCUCCACAGAGGCGACAAGGAGGGCCACCAGGGCCUGGCUGCCAGAAGCCAGCACUCAUGGUGAGGAUAAGAAUGAAAAGGGCUGACUCGGGCACAGGCCAGGAGUAUAGUGACACCUGGUUGACAGCCCCAUGGUGAAUAAGCUGAUGCAACAGCUGUCGAAGUGAUUGCUGAGCAGCCACAUCAGAGAAUAGCAGGUGGCGAAACUUGAGGGUGUGCAGGGAACUGGCCAGGGUCUCCAGAACCCUGCGGUUUGGCUCAGCCACCAGCUCAGUUGCACCCUGCAGCAUGUUGCAGAUGGUGAGCUGCCGGACAUGGCGGGAGCUAUGCAGAAGCGGUGAGAAGCGCUGGUCACAAAGACGCCUGUCAGAAGACACAUCAAUGGUUCCACGUAGAACAUGGGAAAAAAAGGCCUCCAUAAACUUGGCUCGCCAACACGUCACGCUCUGAAAGCAGAGAACAUGCCAGACAGUUGUGAUACUAAGUGCUACCCAUGGAACCAUCAUCGUACUAGUUUCCUCCUAGCUAUUUAUUGUGCCAGGCAACAUUCUAAGUAAUUUAUACAAAUUCAUUUAAUCCUCACAUCUCUGGGGCAUGUAUUACUACUAUAAGCCUCAUUUUACAGGUUAAAAAGAAAAAGGCACAAAGGUUAUUGACUGUGAUUACACAGGGAAGUGGCAGAAUCAAGAUUUGAGUCCAGGUCCUGGCAGGAUAGCUCAGUUGGUGAGAGCAUCAUCCUGAUACACCAAGGUUAUGGGUUCAAUCCCCAGUCAGGGCACACACAAACAUUUACCAAUGAGUGCACAAAUGAGUGGAACAACAAAUUGAUGUUUCUCUCUCAAACACCCAGUAAGAAAGUUUUUU